GAUGAACGCUGGCGGCGUGCCUAAUACAUGCAAGUCGAGCGAACGGACGAGAAGCUUGCUUCUCUGAUGUUAGCGGCGGACGGGUGAGUAACACGUGUAUAACCUACCUAUAAGACUGGUAUAACUUCGGGAAACCGUAUCUAAUACCGGAUAAUAUUUUGAACCGCAUGGUUCAAAAGUGAAAGACGGUCUUGCUGUCACUUAUAGAUGGAUCCGCGCUGCAUUAGCUAGUUGGUAAGGUAACGGCUUACCAAGGCAACGAUGCAUAGCCGACCUGAGAGGGUGAUAGGCCACAUUGGAACUGAGACACGGUCCAGACUCCUAAGGGAGGCAGCAGUAGGGAAUCUUACGCAAUGGGCGAAAGCCUGACGGAGCAACGCCGCGUGAGUGAUGAAGGUCUUCGGAUCGUAAAACUCUGUUAUUAGGGAAGAACAUAUGUGUAAGUAACUGUGCACAUCUUGACGGUACCUAAUCAGAAAGCCACGGCUAACUACGUG
rnacentral:rRNA from 1 species